rnacentral:rRNA from 1 species
UGAGGAAUAUUGGUCAAUGGGCGAGAGCCUGAACCAGCCAAGUAGCGUGCAUGAUGACGGCCCUAUGGGUUGUAAACUGCUUUUAUGUGGGGAUAAAGUGCGUGACGUGUCAUGCAUUGCAGGUACCACAUGAAUAAGGACCGGCUAAUUCCGUGCCAGCAGCCGCGGUAAUACGGAAGGUCCGGGCGUUAUCCGGAUUUAUUGGGUUUAAAGGGAGCGUAGGCUGUCUAUUAAGCGUGUUGUGAAAUUUACCGGCUCAACCGGUGGCUUGCAGCGCGAACUGGUCGACUUGAGUAUGCAGGAAGUAGGCGGAAUUCAUGGUGUAGCGGUGAAAUGCUUAGAUAUCAUGACGAACUCCGAUUGCGAAGGCAGCUUACGGGAGCGCAACUGACGCUAAAGCUCGAAGGUGCGGGUAUCGAACAGG